rnacentral:rRNA from 1 species
AUUGAACGCUGGCGGCAGGCCUAACACAUGCAAGUCGAGCGGGGACUUCGGUCCUAGCGGCGAACGGGUGAGUAAUGCUUGGGAAUCUGCCCAGUAGUGGGGGAUAACGUCCCGAAAGGGACGCUAAUACCGCAUACGUCCUACGGGAGAAAGAGGGGGAUCUUCGGACCUCUCGCUAUUGGAUGAGCCCAAGUCGGAUUAGCUAGUUGGUAGGGUAAUGGCCUACCAAGGCGACGAUCCGUAGCUGGUCUGAGAGGAUGAUCAGCCACACUGGAACUGAGACACGGUCCAGACUCCUACGGGAGGCAGCAGUGGGGAAUAUUGGACAAUGGGCGAAAGCCUGAUCCAGCCAUGCCGCGUGUGUGAAGAAGGCCUUCGGGUUGUAAAGCACUUUAAGCGGGGAGGAAGGUUCGCGGCCUAAUACGUCGCGGAAUUGACGUUACCCGCAGAAUAAGCACCGGCUAACUCUGU